CAGCAGAUCGGGAAGCAGAGCCCCGGGAGGUUGGGGCCCUCGGGCGGAACGCGGGGAGCGCAAUGUCUCCCGCAUGGCCGGAGAAGCUUUACCGGGAGGGCCCGCUGCUGGGGAGCGGCGGCUGCGGCAGCGUUUACUCGGGGACCCGCCUCGCGGACGGCGCCCCGGAACACCAGAGUACAGCCCACCAGAAUGGAUCCUCUUCCACUGCUACAGUGGCCAUUCAGCAGCAAUCUGGUCCCUGGGCAUCCUGCUCUAUGAAGUGAUCUGCAGGGACCUUACUUUCUACAGUGAUGAGGACAUUGUCCGGGGCCAGCUUUUCUUCCCAUCCACGUGUCUCUUGGCAUUAAGAAGCCAAGAAAAGCAGACGGUUUCCCUGUGACUGUAGCAGAGUAGGGAGCAUAGCUGAUGAGAUGCUUCUGCCGGUGCUGGGGGAAGUUGUGGAGGAAGUGGCUGAGCACUCUCCAUCGUAUUUGAGAAGUCUUGGCAGUCUGGAAGAUUCUACCAUGUGCCUGGACCAGACUGGGAAGUGCUGGGACUGUGGAGUGGAUUGAUCCCACUGCCAGUGCUACUCUGGCCAUGACCCUUCAAGAUGGACAAGAACAUUAUCUGGGAUCAGCUUCUCUUCCAGCAGUGGGUCUCUUGAGGGGCCCAGCACCUCAUCACAUUGAAACAGCAUCAUCGGCCUGCAAAUUUGGGGGGCAGGGGGGUGUUUAUUUGCUGUCAAAAAUAAAUUUUUUUUUUUGUAA